ensembl:ncRNA Y69E1A.12 ncRNA
ACUGUGAUGUACUACUUAUUACAGCAAAAAGGCGGGAAGAACUCAGAUUACACUUUCAUAUCUUUCUUGUUCUUCAUCUUUAACCCAUACGAAAAGCACAACAACAGUUGACCGCCCCCAUCUGACUCUAAAUCUCUUC